GGUCCCGCCUGCCCAGUGACUCUUUAAACGGCCGCGGUAUCCUAACCGUGCAAAGGUAGCAUAAUCACUUGUCCCCUAAAUAGGGACUGGUAUGAAUGGCUAAAUGAGGACUAAACUGUCUCUUGCGGACUGGCCAAUGAAAUUGAUUUUCCAGUACAAAAGCUGGAAUGUACCCAUAAGACGAGAAGACCCUGUGGAGCUUCAAAACCAAAUCACCCGGCAUGUUCAUUGGAUUUUUAGUUGGGGCGACUUCGGAAUAUAAUAAAACUUCCAAAAUAAAUUAAUUUCAUCAAGAUUAACACACCAAAAUUUCUUUAUAGAUCCAGCAAAUAAUUUUAUUUAUCUGAUCAAUGAACCAAGUUACCCCAGGGAUAACAGCGCAAUCUCCUUUUAGAGUCCAUAUCGACAAGGGG
rnacentral:rRNA from 1 species